AGUACUUCAAGGUUGGUAUAAUCUGGUUGUUAUUCUAAAUCUCUGCUUUAGUUGUUAAAGUGAUAUGCAAAUUAAUCAGAUUCAGUGGGUAGGGUAGCCUGGGGGCAGCACUGUACUGGGAUUGACUUAGAUUGAGAUUUCAGAAAUAAAGUAUAUAACAGCCACAGAAUAUGAUCAGAGCAACUGGUAACCAAGAGGAAUAAAUCUCUUGACUGAACUAAAUAGACACAACAGCUCUUCAGCUGGGCGUAGUGAUGCAGGCCUGUAAUCCCAGUGAUUUGGGAGGUUGAGGCAGGAGGAUCUUAAGUUCAAGGGUACCCUCAGCAAAGUGAGGCCCUGAGCAACUUAGUGAGACCCUGUCUCAAAAAAUAAAAAGGGCUGGGGACAGCUCAGUGGUAAAGUACCCCUGAGUUCAAACCUUAGCAUCACCACCACCACCAACAAAAAAACCCAGAAACCACUUCUCCAAAUUGCUCUUUACAUCCAGCUUCUAAGAGGCCUAGUCAGCUGAUUAGAAAGUUAUAUUGGUUCUAGAUGCCUUAAAAUAUAACUGUCUAGAUUUAAAAUGGUUCCUAUUUGGAAAUGUGACGUUUUCUGGCUGGUGUUAAUGGUAUUUUCCAGCUCAGAUAUUUUAGUUUUAGUAGUAACCAAGAGCUUUAAUUCUCAUGUGUGCUCAUUAUUUUAUUCUGAACUGAUUCUUCCUCUUGAGUUCUGUUAGUAUGGACCCCAAGUUUUUAGUUGUCCUGUGAUCUAGCUCAGCUUUUUAAAGAAUAUCCUGAGUGAACUUUCAGGUAGAACUGCUAUUUUCUAUGCUGUGAUUAUAAAAGCAUUUAGUUUUGUUUGAGGGGUAGUGACCUGGGGAUAAUAUAAACUGGUUUUCAUUCCCAGGGUGCUUAACUCCCUUUUCUGGAGACUAACUAGUCUGACACUUAAAUGAACCUGCUUUUGAAUGACUUGUACUUGACCCAAGUUAUUCUCUGGCUUUGAUAGGUUGCCACCACCUUGUCCUUUAGUACUACUCCUUUGUCUUACUUCAUUUGAAGCUGACCGUGGAAUGUGAAUAAAGUCUUUUGUGUUCACAUUCAUUUUUUAGUUUAUUCUUUUUUUUUUGUUUUAAUUCUUCUCCUAUCUUAGUUGGAUGCUUAGUUCUUUAAAAAAUAUACAUAAUCUUUUUAGCUGGUAAUAGUCUAUUUGCCUUUAUUCUGGUUACUGAUAUGUUUGAACUUCUUUCCUUUGUUGUUCUUUUCCUCCUUCUUUUUGUAGUCUUUCUCUUUAUUCUUACUGGCUUUUAUAUCUUAAGUCCUUAUUUCUCAGGCUUGUCUUACCUUCCCUAGUGGUUCCACCAUUUCUUGUCUUUUAAUGGUUCCCAUUCAUACUCGUUUUAGUCAGUUUAUGAUAAUGGACUGGGCAGGUGAAACCACACGUUUAUUUCCUCACAGCUGUGGAGGCCAAGUCCAAGAUCAAGGUCUUCCCAGUCUGCUUCCUGGUUUGCAGACUGCUGUCUUUUGAUGGCAUCCUCCCACGACUUAGAACAGACAAUAAGAGCUCUUGUGCCCGAGCAUGCUUUUGUUCUCUCUUUUUUUCCUCUGUGCUAGGGCAUUCUACCACUGAGUUCAUUCCCAGCCCUUUUUUAUUUUGAGACAGCAUCUUGCAAGGUUGCUGAGGCAGGUAUCCACCUUGUGAUCCUCCUGCCUCAGCCUCCUGAAUCACUAGAUUACAGGUGUAUGCCACCAGGCCCAGCUAAGAGCUGUCCCUUCUCAUGGGUCAUUCAUCACAUUCAUGAGGGAUUGACCCUAAAAUCUAAUCAUCUCCCACAGGCCCAACUCCCCAAAAUACCAAUUUUAGGGAGACAUGGAUAUUCACCCUAACAACACCUAAUGAAGAAUAACAUCAUUAAUGUCCCCUCUCGAAAAAUACAGGAACUUAUGUUAUCAUUGUCUGUCAUCUUAGUCUUUUUUUUUUUUUAAACCACUUGAUGUGGACAUUAUUGCCUCCACUUGUCAUUCAGGCAGUGUUUGCUAGCUUUGCUGUUCAUCGCUUCUUUUGUAUCUCAGACCUUCUUUCCAGAAUUAUGUUUUCUGAAAGGUUCCCCGGUGUGUGUGGCUAGACUGAUGGUAAAGGUGAUCUUAGUGCAUACAGUUUUGGUUGGACGGUUCUUCAACACUUGGAAGAUGUUAAUCUAUUCUUAUUUGGGCUUUCAUUGUUCCUGUGAGGAAGUCUGGCCCGUCAGGUGGCAUUCUACAUUUACAUCUUUCUCUAUAACUGUUCUGAAAAUCUUUGAUUUGGUUUAUCUAGGAGGGUUUUUUUUUAAUUAUUCUAUUUGAUAUGCAUUGUGUUUCCUUUAUCUGUACAUGGGUGUCUUCUCUCAUUUUUGGAAAACUCAGC
rnacentral:lncRNA from 1 species